rnacentral:rRNA from 1 species
CCUACGGGUGGCAGCAGUGAGGAAUAUUGGUCAAUGGACGCAAGUCUGAACCAGCCAUGCCGCGUGCAGGAAGACGGCUCUCUGAGUUGUAAACUGCUUUUGUACGAGGGUAAACGCAGCUAUGCGUAUCUGUCUGAAAGUAUCGUACGAAUAAGGAUCGGCUAACUCAGUGCCAGCAGCCGCGGCAAUACGGAGGAUUCAAGCGUUAUCCGGAUUUACUGGGUGUAAAGGGUGCGUAGGCGGUCGGGUAAGUUAGAGGUGAAAUCCCGAGGCUCAACUUCGGAAUUGCCUCUGAUACUGUUCGGCUAGAGAGUAGGUGCGGUAGGCGGAAUGUAUGGUGUAGCGGUGAAAUGCUUAGAGAUCAUACAGAACACCGGUUGCGAAGGCAGCUUAC